CAGCGAAAUGCGAUACCUAGUGUGAAUUGCAGAAUUCCGCGAAUCAUCGAGUCUUUGAACGCAAGUUGCGCCCGAGGCUUGUCCCGAGGGCAUGCCUGCCUGAGCGUCACCGCACUCCCACCCGACGUACCCUCGUCGCGAGUGGAACUGGCCGUCCGGGGUCGGGCGUCGAUGCCCAGUGCCGCGGUCGGCUGAAAUGGAGCGUUCCGGACGUAGCCGGAGAGGGGGAUAGCGAGAAGGUGAUCCGCCUUCGGGCGGAGUCUAUUUUGACAGCGUCCCUCGAUCCGGAGGGUCCCACGGAACUCGGAGCGGGAGCUCGCCCGGUCGAUCGUCCGCGGUCGACCGGGAGAGUCACACCACGGCUCGGACCUCAGAUCAGGCAAGAUUACCCGCUGAGUUUAAGCAUAUCACU
rnacentral:rRNA from 2 species